UACGAAGGGGGGCUAGCGUUGCUCGGAAUCACUGGGCGUAAAGGGUGCGUAGGCGGGUCUUUAAGUCAGGGGUGAAAUCCUGGAGCUCAACUCCGGAACUGCCUUUGAUACUGAGGGUCUCGAGUUCGGGAGAGGUGAGUGGAACUGCGAGUGUAGAGGUGAAAUUCGUAGAUAUUCGCAAGAACACCAGUGGCGAAGGCGGCUCACUGGCCCGAUACUGACGCUGAGGUGCGAAAGCGUGGGGAGCAAACAGG
rnacentral:rRNA from 1 species